UUCUCUUUUUAUAAACAGCAGCGCCGUGUGUGUGCUUUUUCUUUGUUUUAUGCUGGAAACCCGAUACGGUCGCGGUUCGUCUGCAACGGUCGCGUUUGAUCAGCUAAACGACAAAGAGAAAACUCGUUGCGUAACGGUUUUGUCGUACGAAAGACGUCGAUAAAGUAAGAGACGUCGUUCGAUAUGAAGAAUUAUUCGAUACAGACGCCUUUGUUUAUUUUCGCGCUUCCUUGCACCAAUAUAUCGGUAACGUUAGAAAAACGUUUACGUUUCACGGUGGGUAGGAGAACACGUGCGCAAUAUUUCGUUCUCUUGAAAACUAUCGACAAAAAUCAUUAUGUAAAGCAUAAGGAAGUUGGAAAAGACGCCUGUUGGCAAUUUUUAAUUCUUUGCGGCAUCUCUUUUUUGCCGCGUUUUCUUUUUUUGCCCUGUAUUUUUUAAUUAGAAAAAUGAUUUUUAACGCCUAUCUCGUAAGUUUUGCCGGGCGUUAGCAAGGCGUUAAGAAAGUAUUUUGGCCACCCACUUUUUGCUGCCGAACGUGAUUAAAGUCUUUGCCGCUUUUUGUCAGUUUUUCCAUAUUUUCAAACGAUAAGAAAAACAAUUUAGUUGUUGUAGUAGGAACGAUUGUCUGUCAUCUCGCGUAAUGCAUAUUUGGCCUUAUCACUCCUUUUUUUAUUUUCAAACAAAACGCAUGGCCAAUUUUUACAUUCUUGGUCCUAAUUACUAUGUCACUCGUAUAAUUAGCGAACGGGUCUUCUGUUGAUCGAAAAAAGACGGCUCUUUUUAGAUUUACAAAUGCUAAAUUAUAAAGUGUAACGUACAUAGAAAACAACGGGUUUUUGCACUCUAAUAAUUCUUACGUGCACUAGCGUCGUACACGUUUAUCGACGUAUUUUCUAUAAUGUCCUAAAAGAAAUGCAGCAAUAUGGGCGGAGUCUCGCCAAUCGCACCCGCCUAUUGGCUGAGAGCGGCUUUUUUGGCGCCACUUACGCCGCUCUUUCUUUGACUGUUCUCUCCGCAUUAGUUGUAUUGAGAAGAGAGAUGUUCGGUCAUCAGGAUUCGAGUGCCUAUUACGCGCCAACGGAGAUGUUCUGGGAUCAACGAAUAGGACAUAGCUGGCGGCAGGGUGAGCUUGUCUGGGUUUCUUUUAUUUUUUCGCAAAAAACGAUUUUUGCUGCUUCUAUAAUAUUUUUUUAACAAAAAGUUGGGUCAAAAAAAAUUAGGUUAGCUUUAUCGUUUUCUUUAAAGCCUCUGAAAUUUCACUUUUUAAAAUUAGUAGCGCAAAACGAACCGGGCGGAUGACGGUUAUUCAAAAAUUGAAUAAGUCUAUUGAUAGUGGUGAAUGUAAAUGAAUUAUUUCCUAUACAAAAAAAGACAUUAAACUUCUUAGUAGGAACACAAGAGAUUUUUUCCUUCGUAACGAAUAAAUUUGUGUGUGUCUUUUAAGACGAAAGAUUCGGGUAUACAUUUCUAUUUAGGUGAAAGAGAAAAAAAAGUGAAAAAUAAAUAAAAAAACACCAAGAUAAAAAAUUGAAAUAAAAAGAGAAGAAUUAAAACUGUUCGAGUUAACGACAUAUGUAAAUAUAACAAAGUAGAACGGCGGAAGAAGGAAGGGGGAAUAUCGAAGGAAUUAGGCGUUUAGAUUUGAAUAUUUUAGAGGUUACAUCUCUUCCGACCACGUUAUAUAUUUACUAUAUUUAUUACGUUUGUAUAUGUCUGUGUGUAUGAGGGUUUAAAAGCGUCCUACGUAGUUUUUUUAUGAAUUAAUUUCAAAAGAACGAAAGAGGCGGCAGGUGACGUUCAACGAAAUACUUAACUAUUCAAAUAACGUACAAUAAUUUUUUCGAUGCGACCAAGUUUAUUUCCUCUCUAAUUAUUUACUCUAACGCGAAUUUUUCUAGGCCUAAGUAUUGCCACCCUUUAUACGUAGUGAAUUGCGUGCGAGCUAGCUCUUUCCUUUUCAACGCACGUAAUAGGCCUGCUUGGAAAUAUGCUUGAACCAAGCACGCGCUUAACACGCUCUUUCCUUUUAUAUCUAAUGUAUAGACCAGAAAGACAAGUGGGUUGUUGAAAGCAACCUUAAAGAAAGCCAUGUCUCAUUUCCGUUUCAUUUCUUUAUAUUUCUAGAAUAUAAUUUCUACCAAUUUCAAUACUUAACUGUACACUUUGUCAAAGUUUUGAUAGAAAAAAAAAAUAAAGAAGGCAGCGAGUGAAGAGGUAGAUGUGUUAGCUUGUUGUAUAUUACCAUAAUAAAUAGGCCUAAAAGGCAAGGUUCCUAGUUGAACACUAUUGUAAAAUGAAAAAAGGGUUUAAGGAAAGGAGGUAUAGAAUUAAAGAAAAAAAAAUAUUUGAAAGAGGAGAAAGCACGCGUCGAGCACGCGAUUUUCUUCAUACCUUCGAAUUGACCCUGAAAGUAUAUUUUUUAAUAUAAAUCUCUCCCCAACGUGUGUGAUCCUCUUUGAUUAUUAUAUUCUCUCAUAUGAAAUUCUUUCGUCGUCUCGUCUUAUUGUUGUUAGGUCGGGAUCGGGCCGUUUCAUUGAUUUAUAUAUCCAAUAAACGCGCCUCAUGAGAUAUUUUAAAAUGAUCUACUACAUAAACCACCGCCUCCGUUGCAUUGGUUUUUAUUCUUUAUGCUUUUUUUUUUUUUCAUUCUAAUUUUUGGUUGGUUCCAUCUCCUUCCGCCUUUCCGAAACACAUAAAAGAAUCUAUACAAGUUCUUUUCGGCAAUAAUUUAGAUUAGAAAGAUACGGUAGAAGAGAAUUAAGUCGAUCGGAAAAAAGAGGUCGAACGUUAUGGCGCAUACGAUAAGAACUUUUUCUAUGGCUAAAAAUUUUUUUUGUCUAUAUGCAGUAUAUAAUUUAAUAUAUAUGGAAUGUUGAAAAAAGCGAAAAUGGAAUUUUUGUAUAAAAAUCUAGUUAACCUUUCAUACAGUAUAUCCUCUGACACACAUACUCUCUACUUUCCUCCCUCCCUCCCCUCCCCUCUCUCCCCUCUCUCCAACUUUGCGAAUUUUUGGCGUUAUUCCUGGUUUCCCAGUUAAUAUCGAAAGCGAACGUAUCAAAAAGAGAACGAAAAAAAAAUAGCACACGAGACAAGGUCCAUUUGGACGCAUUCAAUAUUAUUUACGUGCCGUUUGCCAUCUUUUAUUACAAAACAUUAUGAGACCUUAACCGCUUUUCUAUUAACUUUAUAUUAUUUUUAUGAUUUUGGCGAUAAAUCGUGAAAAAUGCGGGUCAUAUAUUGAAAUGUGUGCGGAAUUAAUAUUUUGCCCUUUUAAUCUUCUCCAUCUUAAAAGUUAUAUAUGUAUAGUAUGUAAAUAGAAUAAGGUAGAGGGUUUUAUCAUUUUUCAAUGGAUGAUCAAGUGCCCGGUAAUAUAUUCGGCAAAUAAAUAUUGACCUCGGCCAGUCGCAAUAAUUUCGGAUUGUUGGAAUUAUGCGUAGACACGAAUUUUUUUAGUUUACGUUUAGAGAAUUUCAAGAUAAAAAUGCGGAAUUUAAUAAAAGCUAAAUGAUUAUAUUAGAAUGAAUUAUAAGAGGAGUACAAGGGAGUUUGAGAGACUGGCAGAUUGGAAUAGGGAACUAGGUGAUGGAAACAUAGAAAAGAGAGCAAAAUUAAGAGGAAGCAGACGUCUGAGCAGAUUGUGGAAAGGGUUCUUUAUAAAAAUUCUCCUUGUUAGAGUGUCUGUCUAUGUGCUAUUUAUUUAUUAAUCUGUUCAGGGUUAGUGUUGCGGCAUUUUCUGGAAAAUAACCGGAUGAGAUAGUGUUGUUUAACUUUUUUAACAUUAGGAAUGUUGACGCGUCCUUCAGCAUUCGUGUUCGUCCUUAAUCGGAUUAUAAAAGAUUAAGCAACUAUGAAAAUUUCUUCAAUUCUUCUUCAUUUUUUACAGAUCAUCUACUUCGAGCGGCCGCCGGAAGUAUGACGGAACGCGGUGGCGAAUUGGGAACGUAUCAUCCUCUUUGGACGUCCGACGGUGCUAUAGCGCAGGUAACAUUUUUACGCUUGCGCGAUUCAGAAAAGCUGAGUGGCGUACAUCUGCCGCGAUUUUUUUACCUUAAACUUCGCGUAUCCGAUUGCCCAGACGAAUGUUUGAAUGCGUUACCCGAAUGAACUAAAUAGAACAACCAAUAGGAAAAAUUUUAAAAGAACAACUUGACCACACGUGGUCAACCACGCCCCUCCUACUUGACCCGUCCACAAUUUAACCACGCCUACUGACCACGCGACUCGGACCGGUCCACGGCACGCGCCACUGUUUCCCCUCGUUUAACCCCGAUUUCGAGGUGGCGCUGUUGUUUAACGUUGUGUGUUUGUCGCGUACCCAUUGUUGUUUUGCAUUUUUACAUGGAACGCGGAAUGUACCAGUACGACUAUUGGGUGAGUGGAUUUUUUUUCAGGUGUAUACGCUGUUCAAAGCGAGCGAACGCGCGCGCGCGCGCUCUUUUCCUUGGAGCUUUUUUUCUCAACGCCCUGAAUAUUCACGCACCAUCUGACAAGAAACGACGCGGAAUUUAGAACGCGACCCGAUUUUUUUUUUUUUAAGUAGAGAUGGUGAUAGACGGAACGAGUUUUGCACGUGUUGCAGUCUAGUUAAAAAAGCAUCUUUUCGGAAAUUUUACCAUAGCCUUUUCCAUUUUAUAUUGCCUCGUCCUUCACCGCCCCCAUCCCUUUCUUAUCUUCAUUAUUGGGACAAUAUACCGUCUCUCUAUAUCGUAUUGUUGGCAUUUUUUAUUUAUAUAAACAGUAUUGACGAAAGAAGAUAAUUUUAAUAUGCUCUUAAAGUCCCUUUUCCCGUCGCUCACCCUCUCAUACUUAUUUAUACAGUAGUUAAUAUAUAAAUAGGCAAAUAAAUAUAAAGCAGAUAGAGCAGCUCGACAAGUCGGCCUUACAGUAAAAAGAAAAAAAAAGGAUAAACAAACAAAAUAAUAAACUUAAUUGAGUAAAUAUGAAGAGAAAAACCGUAUAAAUCGUUAUAACUACUUAUAGAACGCGGCUAUAUUACAGUAAUCGAGUAUAUUUGACUCAAAACCUAUUCGCUGUAAAUAUAAAUUACGUUAAAAGUAAAAAGAAGAAAAAAACGACGAAGCACUAAAAAAAACGAGAAGUAAAAAAAGAAGACAAGAAAAAAGACUAUAAUUUUGUAUGGAUUAAAUAAGAGAUAUUUAAGAAUUUCUUCCUAUGCAAUUUAGGAUAGAUAAUUUCAUAUCGUAUCUCUUGCAUAGCUAUGCGCGCGUUAUUAUACAGUAUAUAGUCUAAAAUGUAUAUAUAGAUAUAAGCAUGUAUAGGUAGAAAAGAAAAGCAUAACAUGUAUACACCCAUCUGGUGCGAGUAUGAUUUAUUCUUUAUGCCGUCAGCUUUUAUGUUAAAUGUAUGAUUUAUGUAGAAAGAGCACAUAUAGAAAAAGGAGAAAAAAUCAAUUCAUAAAGGAAGGUUUAAAGUGUAAAAUAUAAUUUUUCGCCUGAUCGAAGUUUGCGCGCGUGUCGGGGCCAGGAGAAUAUCGGAAGUGGAGAAGAAUUCGAUUCCGAUGAAUUGAACGAGCGCAGGCAUGCACGACGCCGUCGCCGCCCUGAGCCACAUACCGCGAGCGUUCGGAAUGUUGCGUUAGAUUAUUGUAUGUCAAAUUUUUUCUAUGUAUGGGAAAUAUAUGUACGCAAAGGUCGAGUUUGACGGUUUUCAGAUUUUUUAAGUGAGUGUGUGAGUGAGAGAGAAAGAACGAACGAAUGAACGAAAGAAAGAAAGACAGACAUUGCGAGAGAGAUGUUUAACAGGAGGGGAAGGUGAGGGCGAGAGAAAGAAAGGGAAUGAAAUUUUUCAUUUUCAAACCAAAAGAGGAAAUGGUCAAAGAAAUUAAACGUACAAUUUAUACACUUAACUUGUUUUGUUAGGUCAACGACGCCAACAUAUGCAAUCCGGUAGCAACAAUGGGCGGCGGUCAAGCUACCAACAGUCACUACCCCCCACCAAAGGUGUCUGCCCUCUUCGACUCUACUUGCCCCCCAUGCCCACCGCCGCCACAUCCAUCCGUCAUGUCGCAGCCAGGCUUAGUUGUACCGCAGCCGUUGAAACCGUCCAGAUCGGCCAAGACCUAUCAUUGCCGGAUGUGCGAACAGGUUUUCGACUGCAAAUCGGACCUGCUCGUUCAUAGCCAACAAGUGCAUAAGCAGGACCCAAAGCCUUACAAGUGCCCAACCUGCAACAAGUGCUUCGCCAAUUCAUCUUAUCUAAGUCAGCACGCACGCAUCCAUUCCGGAAUCAAGCCGUAUCGUUGCAAUAUUUGCGACAGACGAUUUACACAACUUUGCCACCUGCAACAGCACAUGCGUACUCACACAGGAGAGAAACCUUAUAAAUGUUCUCAUCCUAGCUGUGGAAAGGCCUUUACGCAGCUAAGCAGCUUACAAUCCCAUAGUCGGUCGCAUAUGACCGACAAACCAUACAGAUGCAACAGCUGUUAUAAAUGCUUCAGCGACGAACAGGCGUUAAGGGAUCACAUACCGAAGCAUUCAGAGACGAAACACUUAAAGACGCACAUUUGUCACGUUUGCGGAAAGAGCUACACGCAAGAGACUUAUCUGGCUAGACAUAUGCAAAAGCACGCCUAUGACCGCAAUUGUCCUAUUCAACCAGGCCAACAGCAAACGCCAACCGUAACGCAGCAUCAUCAUCCUGCCACGUCUAUUUUCGACCUUGCUCCACCAGGCCCACAUACGUUGGCACCGAUAACUUCUCUUACGCAAUCGCAUCAAGAUGACAUAAAAUGUUCUGCCUUCCUUCCCAUUUCCUCCUUUGCCUCCCUGGCUCCACCACCACCUCCGCCGCCUCUUCCGUCGCAGUAUAACGGACUGCAAUCGAGUGAAUUUUCAACAUCAACACCGGCAACAAGUUCAACUUCCUCUAACAGACGCCCAGACAACUCGGCAGUGACAUCGUCACCGUUUCUUAGUCUGCAACAGAUAAAGUCGUACUCGAAUCAGAACUCUUUUUUUCCAUCCGUAUCCACUUCAAGUAGUCCAAAGGACCAUCAGCAGCCUUACGUUUAAUUUAUGCAAUUUAGCUAUCACGUGACUGCUGUUCUAAUUCUGGACGCUGUAGACGUUUGAAAAGAAAAGAAAAGCAAAGGUGUUUUGAAAAAAAAAUUUAUGUAAAACAAAAAAUAGUCUUAGUAAAAAUUUAUUUUUUUUUCCUUGUUUCUUUUUUUUUUCUCUAUUUUUUUUAUAAUUAUCAUUAUUAUCAUAAUUAUUAAUAUUAUUAUUAUUCUGCUCUGUUUAAGGUUUAUAUGGUAAAAAAAAAGAAAAAGAAUGAAAAUUAUUUGUUUGUACGUGAAAAAAGUUUUUUUUUGUAUCUAUACCAGCUCCUUAAUAAUGUAUGUAUAGCUUAUUUAUUCAGAUCUUUAUAUAUACAUAUAUAUUGGUUCUAUUGGUUUUUUUUUUUCCUUUUUUUUUCUCUUUUUCUCCUUUUUUUGAAGAUUACGUGUAUGCGUAUGUAUAGACAUUUACGGAUAUGCAAACGUAUGUAUGUAGGUACACACUUUUCUGUUUAUCGGGAUCAUACGUAAAUAUAUGUAAAUAUAUUAGUGUAUCUAUAUGUAUAUAUAGAUAUAUAUAUAUAUAUGUUUAUACGAAUGCGAAUGGAUAUAUACAUAUGUACAAAGUUAUAUACGUAUCUAUCCAAUCAAAACAUCUAUGUGUAAAUUUAUAAAUGACUGUGUAUAUGUAUACGCUGAAAUAUUUCUCUUUAUUUUUCAUUUUUGUUAUUUGGUGCUAUGUUCGCGGAAAUUUUACGCAUUAAAGACUUAUUUAUUACAAAAGACGAAUUAGGUGGAGUUUUUUUGUUUUUUUUUCUUCUUCUCUCUCUUUUCAAAAGUUGAUUUUCAAAACACCGUUUGUCUUAUUAAGAAUGCCUAUUAUACAUAUACAAUGUAUACGUUUUGCCCGGUGAUAUUUUUUGCCAUAUUCGCGUGAAAGUGUCUGUAUACAUUAUAUAAAAAAUUUUUUCGUCUUUUAUUGUUCUACAUGCAGCUAGUAUUUAUAUUUGCGUGUACAAAAAAUUUCGACGAUAGUAGGUUUCGUUAUUUGUUCACUUUCUAUACAUACUUUGCAUAUAAGUGUAAAUGACUUUUGUGUAAGUGACGGCUGCUAUGUCGGCGACAUUUCUUAACAAGUAAGCGCCCUCUACUAAACAUUUAUAAUUAUUACUAUAACUAAAUAUAAUAUAUGUAUACAUAUAUGUAUAUAUAUAUAUGUAUAUAUACUGUAUUUGUAUGUAUAUACCUACGUACAUGUAUAAUUUUUCAUUAUCUGUGGUUAAAUGUUAUAUGCUAUAUUUCGGGCUGUUUAGCGUCAACAGUCUGCUACAUUUAAAAAAGACAUCGCCUAUUUUCGUUAAAGCUUUCUGCUUAGAGAUAAUUUGAAAGAAACGUAGAAAUGUUAGGGAAUUGGGGUUUGAUAAAAGAGGGAAAGAGAGAGAGAGAGAGAGAGAAGGAGAGAGAGGGAAAAGAAAAAAAGUGCAAUGGGACAUAAUAGAGAAAAAGUGACAUAGUUAGAAAUAUAGCGUUAAAGUGAAAAAGGGAAAAACAAAGGGAAAAGGAGAUAAUUAAAGAAAAGAAAGAAAGCAAAAAAGAAUCUUAAGAUAUAUAUAUAUAUAUAUAAUUCUGCGCGCGCAUAUAAUGCACAAACACAUGCAUGCAUAGCGAAAACAUACACACCUACUUAUGCAUAUUUUCUUAGGUGUGAAGAGCAUAAUCGUGCUAAAUACGACUGCCCAAGCGUGUGCGUUUUCUAAGCAUGUUUGUAUGCCUUUCUAUUUUCUUGUAUCAUGUACGAGUUUGUCUGUAUUUAUAACUGUAAACAGUUUUGCAAUCUUUCUUACUUAAAAAUUUGUACGCUGAAUGAUUUACUCUUGAAACUGUCGGCUCAAAGGCGUCGGAAAAUAUAGAUUGAAAGAAAAAUUUCCUAUUGUAAAAAUAACUUAUAUUUUUAUUGACAUAAAUCAUUUUUAUUAUUACUUGA
rnacentral:misc_RNA from 1 species